rnacentral:lncRNA from 1 species
GAUAACCAGGUUAUGAGGAAGCCCAAGGUAUUUGCCCACAGGACACUUGCUCUCUCUUUCUUGUGACCCCAACAUGUCAGCUGGCAAGACUCAACAUUCCUGUCUGGGACUGAGCAGCUUGAACCACUUGUAUGAGUCACAGAAAAGGAGAAUCAUACCCCCAUUCCACCACCCCACUCCAACCCCUCCACUGUGGCUCCAAUGUUACAGACCACUCCUAACUUCAGUCCCGGAAGAAUGGAAGGAAGGCUGCAACUUAAGAGACUGCGGUUAGAAGUGAUCUUCAUAAAUUGUUUGCCUUGCCUGUGUCUAGAGUCCUUAAGGUAUGGGUACCUGAGCGCAGGAACCAUGGUCUUCAUUGCUGCCUCAGCAUUAGCGGAAGUGCCACGGGCCGGCUCCCAGGGGGCCAGAGUUUCCCAGGAACACCAUUGAGUACCACUGAACUAGAGUCUGCAAGUUAAAGUAAGGCAAGAAGGAAAACCGGAAACAACUGUAAAAACCUGACCUUUCGUCACCUUAAUACUGGCCAUCAUUUAUCGAGUGCUUAUUAUGUAACAGACAUUGUUCUCAGUGUGUGAGUGCAGUGUUCCUCAAACCUAAAUGUGGGCCUGAAUCGCAGCGGAUCUUGGUAAAAUGCAGUUUCUCAUUCAGUACCUCUGGGGUGCGGCCUGAGAUUCUGCAUUUCCAACAAGCUCCCAGGAUACUUUGUAUAGAAAGGCUUUGGUGUAUUAACUAACUCGAUCUUCUUAAUAAUCCUAUGAAAUACUACUGCUAUUCCCAUUUUACAGAUGAGGAAACAGAGGUUAAGCAUAUAUGAACUUACAUCAAAAUAAAUAGACUGCAGGGCAAGGAGGGAGGGGAGAAUAGUGUGGGCAGUGUACAGUGCAGAAACAAAGUUCUAGGCAGAGGAAAAAGGAUUUACAGAAAGCCUGGCAUACAGGGCAGGGGGACGGGGCCUGCACACGGGGCUGUUUCACCGUUAGACGUUAUAAGCACAGUACUUGGGGCUAUGGGCUUCCUGAAGGUCCCAAGUAUUUGAGACCUG